rnacentral:rRNA from 1 species
GACGAACGCUGGCGGCAUGCCUAAUACAUGCAAGUCGAGCGAACAGAUGAAGUGCUUGCACUUCUGACGUUAGCGGCGAACGGGUGAGUAACACGUAAGGAAUCUACCUAUAAGCGGGGGAUAACAUUCGGAAACGGGUGCUAAUACCGCAUAAUAUCUUCUUCCGCAUGGAAGAAGAUUGAAAGACGGCUCUGCUGUCACUUAUAGAUGACCUUGCGGUGGAUUAGUUAGUUGGUGGGGUAACGGCCUACCAAGACGAUGAUGCAUAGCCGACCUGAGAGGGUGAUCGGCCACAUUGGGACUGAGACACGGCCCAAACUCCUACGGGAGGCAGCAGUAGGGAAUCUUCCGCAAUGGGCGAAAGCCUGACGGAGCAAUGCCGCGUGAGUGAAGAAGGCCUUCGGGUCGUAAAACUCUGUUAUAAGAGAAGAACAAAUUGUAGAGCAACUGCUACAGUCUUGACGGUAUCUUAUCAGAAAGCCACGGCUAACUACGUGCCAGCCGCCGCGGUAA